rnacentral:misc_RNA from 1 species
GAGAGGAAGCCAUUAACAGCGCUGUGAAAGAUCCAACAUGAUAACAAAUAUAAAAUUGAUUUCAAAUUUUCCACCAAACACUAUUACAAUGAAAUUAUAAACAUUUAUAAACCAACCAAAGGGGUUGCAACUGUUAAAUUACCGAUAAUUUAAAACAAAAAUGGCAUCAAUCAACAGAGAAAGAACAUGAGACGUAAAAUUAAAGACUCAAAUCGAUUCGAAGCUUGAGUUAGAGGUUACCCAAGGAAUGCAAGAAGAUUGUAG